UACGAAGGGGGCUAGCGUUGCUCGGAAUUACUGGGCGUAAAGGGCGCGUAGGCGGACAUUUAAGUCAGGGGUGAAAUCCCAGAGCUCAACUCUGGAACUGCCUUUGAUACUGGGUGUCUUGAGUGUGAGAGAGGUAUGUGGAACUCCGAGUGUAGAGGUGAAAUUCGUAGAUAUUCGGAAGAACACCAGUGGCGAAGGCGACAUACUGGCUCAUUACUGACGCUGAGGCGCGAAAGCGUGGGGAGCAAACAGGAUUAGAUACCCUGGUAGUCCACGCCGUAAACGAUGAUUGCUAGUUGUCGGGCUGCAUGCAGUUCGGUGACGCAGCUAACGCAUUAAGCAAUCCGCCUGGGGAGUACGGUCGCAAGAUUAAA
rnacentral:rRNA from 1 species